rnacentral:lncRNA from 1 species
GAGCCCGAAAUUUUGGGGAAGGUUUCUCAUAUUUCAAGAAAGGUCUCCUGCCAUUUUCACUUUAAUUUUGGGGAGAAUUCCUUUUAUUCUAGGACGG